GCGCAUUCGUCUCCCUUUAGUUGUGUGCGGCCGAUGCGUGUGCGUUCCUCUUUUCUUAUGUAUGCAUUUGUCGGCCGCAAAGGGAAAGGGAAGGGAACAAAAAACGAGCGCCGGAGCAGGAGAAAGAGAAGAACUAACAAAAAUUAUCGUCACGUCGUUGAAGUCGUCAAGUACAGUCGGACACGCUGACAAUGAGUGGACUGUCUCGAUGGCUCAUACCAGGCAAAUUGAACAAUCCGAAAGGACGUUGCGGAAACUACCGAAGAGUAUAUGCCUCAGGAUCCUACUGCCAACUACUUUACAGCGAAAUGAUGAAAAGUAAGGGUGUUCUGCA
rnacentral:lncRNA from 1 species